GAAAAUUAUAAAGUGGUAGCAUCAGGCUUUUUUUAAGUGAGAGAGAGAGAGAGAACCGUCGGCACUGAGCCUUCAUUGCACUGCUACUGCAGUCCAAGCAGGAGAAGCCAAUACAAUGCACAGUCUGGGAGACAGCAGUCAAAGAGGAUUGGAGAUGAGUUAGCCGGAGCCGACACGUCCAGAGAGGGAAAGAUGGAGAGAGAGAGACUGAGCAGGAGAGAAAGGAAGAGGGCAGUGUGGUCUAGGGGAUUUUUUUUCUCUCCCCGUCGUUGAAUUGAGCCUACAUUGUGUUGUACGUCGCCAGCCUCCCCCUCAGCUAUAUUUGUCCCUCCCCCUCUCUUUCCACUCUCUGUAUCAAAGCCUGGGGGAGCCAGUAGAGAUUAAAUGUAGCCUCUAUAAGCCACGCACAUCAUGUAGCUAUGUUUCUAUGGCCUGCUCUCUCUUGCCCCUCUCUCUCACUCUCUUUCUGCUCUCUCUCUCCCCUCUCAUUCUCUUUUUGAAGGAUAGUGUUAAUGAUGUCGGGCAUGUGUGAGGUAGUGAGGCAGUGAGUGAGAGAGAGCGAGAGAGAGUGAGAGAGAGAAAGAGAGAAAACGAGAGACGGAGAGGGAGGGAGGGAAAGUGAGAGAGAACGUAUGAGACAGAGAGGAUACAUGCAAGAAGAAAAUCAAGGAAAACUGAGGAUUUGUUGAUGGGAACGGACUUAAAUAAAACACUGAAAAGCAGGCAACAAGGGGACAAGGGGCUGCUGUCUCCUCAUUCCGAACCAGACGUGGACCCAGUCGGUGUUAGAUGUGGUGACCCCACCUGGUGAAAAAACCUGUGGUUACCCGGGUGGCUAACUGCAAAAACUGUGCUCACAGCAAAACAGAAAUGUGCUCAUUCCCAGUCGGUGAAAGAUAGAAAGUCGCCUGUGGAGAAUACAACCUGUAGUUACCUAGGUUACCCCAUUGGCUCACAGAAAAACGUGGCAUUUUUCAAGCGCAAUUGUCUUGUUGUCUGCUUGUUUUAGUCAAUUACAACACUACAUUUAAGAAAACAUUUCUAAAGAUGACUUUUCAACAUUGCCUGCUCCCGAGCGUUCUCACUACUUAGAAAAACAUAAUAUUGUAGGCCUUCCCUCAUGCCUCUUUUCAUGACGAUGCUAACAGCCACUUGAGUGAGUGAGUGCUAGCUAUCUACUGACCGGAACAUUAAGCUAGCUAAGGCCUACAACACAAACAAACGGACGAUGCAGCUACAAGUAGUGAGUGGAGUUACAAACAGACAGUACUAAACAAGUUAAAUGCCUUACCUGUGAUGACAUUUUUUCCACACACAUAGCUACAUGUAGCCUACUUGGACACCAUGUCCCCACAUUUUCCACACUCCCACACCGAGUAGCCUGAAGUGUGUGUGUGUGUGUGUGUGCACGCAAGUGUUAAACUUCAAGAACAUUGAUAAGAGGGAGUAGGUGUAUGUUACAGUGACUUUUGUGUUGUUUAUGGUGAAAAUGCUAUUUAAUCAUUCUGAUGUAGAUCCUUUUGUGUUGUUUAUGGUGCCAUUAAAAACCUUCUGAUGCAAAUGAUUUUGUGUUUCUUUCCCUCACAAUCAAUACAUAGCCUGCCUAUAACUCAAUGCACUGCUUUUUAAAUGGACAAUUGUUUAUUUAGGGACAAAUUUGAGCAAAUUUUAAAUUGCAAUUAAGGGAUGCCAUUAAGUUAAUUAAUUAUUUUAAUGGUUUGACAGCCCUAGGUUAUACUGUACCCUAGUGAGUUAGGGGAGUGGUUAACGUCAUUUUUAAAAAUGACCAGUGAUUGAUGACGCUUUGACAGUGCAUUAUAAAACCUUUCACUUAAACUUUUAGAUAUAAAGAUGAAUAGGCUGGGGAAAAACAAUGCCAAAAUAUCAAGUCAGCCUUGAUAUUUUGAAAAUGUUGUUUUAGUAUAAUUUUCAGAUAGGAUAGUCCUACCGAUUUAGAUGAGAUGUUGCUAUACUGUACACUGAGUGUUCAAAGCAUAAGGAACACCUGCUCUUUCCAUGGCAUAGGCUAACCAGGUGAAAUCUGUGAUCCCUUAUUGAUGUCACAUGUUAAAUCCACUUCAAUCAGUGUAGAUGAAGGGGAGAAGACAGAGUAAAGAAGGGUUAUUAAGCCUUGAGACAAUUGAGACAUGGAUUGUGUAUGUGUGCCAUUCAGAGGGUGAAUGGGAAAGACAAGAUAUUUAAGUGCCCUUGAACGGGGUAUGAUAGAAGCUGCCAGGCACACCGGUUUGAGUCAAGAACUGCAACGCUGCUGGGUAUUUCACGCUCAACAGUUUCAUGUGUGUAUCAAGAAUGGUCCACCAUCCAAAGGACAUCCAGCCAACUUGACACAACUGUGGGAAGCAUUGGAGUCAACAUGGGCCAGCUUCCCAGUGUAACGCUUUCGACACCUUGUAGAGUCCAGGCCCAAUGAAUUUAGGCUGUUCUGGGGGUGCAACUCAAUAUUAGGAAGGUGUUCCUAAAGUUUUGUACACUCGAUUGUAUACCAAACCUAGCUUGGUGUCUCAGGUUCUAUGUGGGGUUUUAGAAUACAUAUCUUACAGGAAACCACCUAUUUAUAAUGAUAUAAUUGUAUGUCUUUCUCUUUUAAGUGUAUACUUGUUCAGAAUAUCUCAGAUUGAUGAUGUACUGCAUGUAAACAAAAACAUUUCCAAUUGCAUUUGCAAUUUGCAACAUUGCUGUUUUCCAACAAUAAAGAUUCCGAAACAUG